rnacentral:rRNA from 1 species
UGCCAGCCGCCGCGGUAAUACGGAGGGUGCAAGCGUUAAUCGGAAUUACUGGGCGUAAAGCGCGCGUAGGCGGCUAUUUAAGUCGGAUGUGAAAUCCCCGGGCUCAACCUGGGAACUGCAUACGAUACUGGGUAGCUAGAAUCUUGGAGAGGUCAGUGGAAUUCCGAGUGUAGAGGUGAAAUUCGUAGAUAUUCGGAAGAACACCAGUGGCGAAGGCGACUGACUGGACAAGUAUUGACGCUGAGGUGCGAAAGCGUGGGGAGCAAACAGGAUUAGAUA